rnacentral:rRNA from 1 species
UACGGAGGGUGCGAGCGUUUGUCCGGAAUCAUUGGGCGUAAAGGGCGCGUAGGUGGCCCGGUCAGCGUGCGGUGAAAGCUCGGGGCUCAACCCCGGAGUCGGCCGUGCGAACUGCUGGGCUUGAGUGACAGGAGAGGGUGGGGGAAUUCCGAGGUGUAGCGGUGAAAUGCGUAGAUAUCUGGAGGAACACCGGUGGCGAAGGCGCCCACCUGGCCUGCUACUGACGCUGAGCUCGAAAGC